GCAGAAGUCCCAAGUACUCUGAAUGAGCCUCACGAAGCCCAGACUGCGCGGGGUGGUUCAUGCUAACCACCAGACUGACGGAACCACAUACACAAGAAGGCACCCUUGGCUUCGUCUUCACCUCUCCGAGCCACUGCAUUUCCGCCAGUGGACAGCAUCAUGCGGAACAAAGCCCAUUCACUAUCAUUAGUUCUUAAUCGUUCGUCGACUGCCUCGAGCCAGCAAGA
rnacentral:lncRNA from 1 species